rnacentral:rRNA from 1 species
GGUGUAGGCGGCUUGGCAAGUGUCGUGUGAAAUCCCACGGCUCAACCGUGGAACUGCACGGCAAACUGCCCGGCUUGAGGUCGGUAGAGGUGCCUGGAACUCUUGGUGGAGCGGUGAAAUGCGUAGAUAUCAAGAGGAACGCCGGAGGCGAAAGCGGGGCACUGGGCCGAUUCUGACGCUGAGACCCGAAAGCGUGGGGAGCAAACA